AGUGAACUUAAGCCCCAGUAAACGGCGGCCGUAACUAUAACGGUCCUAAGGUAGCGAAAUUCCUUGUCGGGUAAGCUCCGACCCGCACGAAAGGCGUAACGAUUUGGGCACUGUCUCAACAACAGACCCGGUGAAAUUGUAAUUCCGGUGAAGAUGCCGGAUACCUGCGACAGGACGGAAAGACCCCAUGGAGCUUUACUGUA
rnacentral:rRNA from 1 species